GUUCAUUUUGCCUGGGCCGCUACAGACUAGAGGAAGGAGCAGGGCUGCGACCACCCUCCGCAUUUGGUGUAAAGUUACCCUCAGGAAAGGGUGUCACACAUAUUCACCAAGCAACAAGGAAGCUUGAGAGAUAUGGGAUAUAUUAAAACCGGCAAGUGAAAGCUGAAGAAAGCACAGGUCAGAGCUGGGCCACAAACAAUUCAUAGAUGUCAGUCUCUGGCCAUUCACUCCAGAAUGCAGAACAGCAUUUCUCUGCUGUUGGCGUCAAAGCCAGGCCUUCACCAACGGUGAGUCACGCACCAAGCAAGAAUUAUGUUAUCAUUGUUUACGAUGUUACAAUAGUGCCUGGAGAGUCCAACCAAGAUCAAGGCCCCAAUCUCCCACAUACUGUCUUUACACACAAUAUGAGCCAGUCCCUGCCCCAAGGAGCUUACAAGCCAGAGGGAGACUAGAUGCUCAACUGAACAUACAACCCACCCCUAUUGGGGACUAGCCACCGACACCCCAAAGAGCAAGGAGUGGGCAAGCAAGAGCUGAGGACCUCUGACUCCCCCACGCAAGCCAACCCCCAAUGGACAUCAGGAGAGGUGGGGAGAAGAGAUAGAGUGCCCACCCCUUUCUGGCAAGGGAAAAGAGCAUAAAGUGCCCCCCUCCCAUCAGCCAGGAGGACAGUAAAGCUGGGUGUAAUCUGCUUCUGUGGUUGACACAGCAGGAUCCUAGAACAUCCCCUCUACCAUAGACUAAGACCCAAGGCAAUUGUAAUUGAGAGUCCCUUGUAUAAAACUCUAAGCCAAGAGUCUGAGGUAAUCACACAAUCUUGUUGAUCCACUUGUGACACCGGCAGAUCAGGUACCAGCUCAUACCAAGGGCCCUAGAUCUCACUGAACACUGACAAAUGCAUAGCUGGAAACCUGUCUGACUCACCUGUGCACUAGUAUUGUUAAAAUAGGUAUUAGAUUUAUAGAUAUGUGUUUAAUGUUUGGACUUUAUGAAAUGCUUGUAAAUUGCUGCAUGCUUCAGUCUCAUUUAUAAUAUCUAUAUUCCAUGCUAUAUGCAGAGGUGGCCAAACUUACUGACCUUCCGAGCCAAAUACAAUAAUCUUCAGAAGUUCGAGAGUUGCAAGACACUCAUAACCUGCCCUGCAGGGUGGCACCUGCUGGGGCUUGGGACUUCAUCCCCAUGUGGUGUGCCUGCUAGGGCAUGGGGCUCACCUGCUGAAGUCCCGAUCCCCAGCACCGCCCCACUACUGGGCUACAGCCUAGAGACCCCACCCUCCCUGCAGGCAGAAGCCCCUAACCCCACCACCCAGCUCCCUCCCACAGUCUAUUAGGUGGAGAAUGGGGGGGCAACAUGGGGUCUUCGCGAGCCUCACUUCAACUGUAAAAGAGUUUGGCCACACCUGCUAUAUGGCAAUAUUUAAGAGUUUGCUUUGUAACUAUAAAAGUGUUUGCUGUGAAACUGGAAACCCCCACAAUCAGGAGAGAAGCAUUACCAAGUGUGAAAUACUAGUUUACCACAAGACAUGCCGUUUCCUGUCCAACAGAAGAGGGCCUCUUUCUUUAAGGAUCCCCAAAAUCUCAUUCUUUAAUGCCCAAAGGAGUGAUGGACAGAAUAGUUAGGCCUAAUAUCUGACACACCAAUUUUGGUUCACUGAUUUCUGGUUCAACCCUUAGCUUGUUUAUCAGGAAUAAUCUCCGCUGGUCUAGUGCCACCAGAUGAACCACUGUGGAACAUCAGUGGACAAAAGACUUUGUUCCACCAACACCCAUAAAGAAAGGGUUUGCACAAACCCUCAACCCCUCACAGUUUGAACUCUAGGGGAAGGGAAGAAAAAUCCCUGACCAGAAGGCUCUGUUUCACUAUGUUGCUAGGAUUUUGGA